rnacentral:lncRNA from 1 species
GCCUUGUAACGAAUUUGGUUGUCCAAAUUUGGUAUCUCCUUGAUAGCAUCCCAACAACUACUAUCUCUUUCCUUUUUCUCCAGUAGGCUAUGGAUUCCCCGAAAAUCAGUAGCAAUUGAGUCAAUGCUAGCAGAAAGUUUUUCUAAAACAUUAACUCGAGUAGUUGUCUCAAUGGAGCUAUUAUUCCCUUCAAAAUCAAUUCUGUUUCGUUUUUUCUGAGCAUUGGUGGACAAGGAAGCCUCCGUAUUUGUUCCUUGAAACGGUAAGGGUGGAGUAGGUUGCCUAGG